rnacentral:lncRNA from 1 species
ACGCGUGGAUCGUGGAAGAACACUGACCUGUUAAGGUCUAUUUCGUGUCUCGCUCGUCACCCUCGGAGACAUAGUAGAUGGAUCUUUUGACGAACGCAAACCAGUCCUAUGUAUGCUAGCGCACACCUGUGACACAUGCACGUAUGCACCAGUGGGUCGAUGGGGGACACUCGAGGAGCCCACUGGCAGGUUUAUAGCACACGGAAACUAUACGGGGGUGAAAAACACAAAGGCUCGAGGCACAGAACCAACUCGAGGAUUGCAGAUGCGCUCGCACAUUCAACCCGGGACACAAAAGAGCAGAGAUCAGCGCAGCCCUGCGGAUGGGGACCGCCCGGGGCCCACGUGCGCUCCCCGCCGACCCCGCAGCCGCGCACCCCGAGUCCGCCGCGCCGUCACCAAACGGACCCGAAACUUGGCCGCGGGGACUUAAGAGCCGCGGAGCGGGAGCCUUCGCGCCGCCUCGCGUCGGCGCCAGCGCCAGCCACCGGUUCCCGGCCGUUCGGAGGAAGCUCGAAGGGGGCGCGUCAGCCCGCCCCGCAAUCCCCUUAGCGCCCGGCCCGGUCGCCCCCGCCGCGGUGGCCACACUCCUCACUGACACCAAGGGACAUUCCCCCGAGGCCCGCCCGCCCUCCCCGGCUCCGCCGCUCCUCACCAGAGCGCGACGUGCCAACGCUUCAGCGAGCCCAGAGCCGCAGCCGCCGCCGUCGCUCUGGCGCCCGCGGCCGCGCCGCCGCCAUCUUGGCUCCGGCCGGAAGUGACGUCGGCACGGCGCCCACAACCCCCGACCCCGACCCCGACCCCGCGCGUAGCUCGUGGCCUGCGACCCCGAGGAGCUCAACACGACGGUCAGGCGUGACCCCGGCGGACUGUGUCGCCCUCUCUGUCAAUCACGGACUCGCCGCUCGCCCCAGAGCGUUAUUACCUCGAAGGGAAGCCCGCGUCGCCAUGGCCGGGCCAGCCUGACCACUAUAGAGUUAGGGCUGAGAAACUCAAGAGUUGGUCAGAGAAGCCACCCUACUUCAGACGACCGCGACUGACUGGCGUGGUGGCGCACACUUUAAUCCCCAAACUCGAGGCAGAAGCAGCCAGAGCUACAUAGUGAAUUCCAGGAAGGCAGGACCACACCCUUAGACCUUGUUUCAAGAAAAACAAGAGCAGAAUCCACUCUGAAGGCCACUCACUAGACCACUGCCAGGCAAAUAGACCGUUUAAAUGGUGUGCAAAGGACCAAUAUAGCCACACACACACAAACCCGAAACUUCAGCAAAGCAGAUGCAACUGAGCGGCUGUAUUCAUCCCUUACCAGGAGGCAUUUGCUAACUGCCAGCUAUGGGCCUAGGUCAGUGCCAAGGCUCUGUGGUACCCAGCAUGGCCUUCAUCUUGCCCUUGGGAACUGCACCACUAUUUACAAACAAGUGAGCUGGAGAUGGAUUGGAUUGAACUGGAGACCACUUCUGACAUCCCAGAAAAGAGGUUUGACGGGAACAUAGUUGCCAAUCAAUCUGAAGUUGUAGAGAGAUGAAAGUUACUUGUCACAUCUAGAUGGUACCCAGAGCCAUGAGUACUUCAAGAUAAAGCUAUCCUCUGAGAAGAAAGGAAAAAAAAAAAAAAUCUAAGUGUAGUGGGCCGUAUUAGUCCUCUGAGAAAAGGAUCUGAAAAAUAGAUAAUGUAUUAUGUUCAAAUGUGCCUCCAAAACUUUGGAAAGACCAGACAAGCUCAUCAAAUGUACCUGUUGUUUAGAAAGUACGUCAAUCAACGUGGAUUGUGGUAUACUCUGUAAAGGAUUGGUGACAUGGUGAUUAUCUCAUCAGUACUGUUGACAGGUGAGGACAAUGUCAAGUGUUGUCAAGGUCUGGAUCACCACAGAGCCCGUGGAGAGAGGAAAUAAAACCUCAAAUGUUUGCUUAUGUCUCUCACUAGUCAAGAGUUUACAAACCUAAGAGAGACAUGCAAACUUGUCACUAGAAUAUACACUAUUAUGGUACAGGCUGCCACUGGAAUUUGCACUCUUUAUUUGAUUAACACCUUACUAAGUAUAUGCAUCAAAAAUCAUCUGAGGUAGCGUGGGAGCAAAAGGGAGACCACCACCUCAUCUACCACCAAACUGCCAUAGCCAUCAUUUUAAAAGAAAAUCUACUUACCCCCUGGCAUCCAAUAGAAUGCAAAAGGAAAUAUAGGGGAUUUUGAUUUUUGUCAAAUCAAAACAUGACAUGGUAAAACCAGAGAACACCAUGCCAAGAAGGCAGUGGCUGUUCUUCCUGUCUUUAAUCUGAUAUGACAAUGCCUUUUUCCCCUGGGGCAACGGUUUCAGAUUUGAUGUCUUAAAACAACAGAAAUUUAAUCUCCUGCAAAUGUAGAGGCUAGAGUCCAAAUCAGUAUCAGUAGACUCAAGCUAAGGUGUCAGUAGGACCACACUUCCUCUGAGGUCUCUAGGGGAGACUGUUUCCUUCUUCCAGCUUCUGGUGACUGCCAACAUUCCUUGGCUUGUCACUAUGCCACUCAACUCUUCAAGGCCAACAUCAUCACACUCUCUUCAUCUUUACAUCACUUUCUCCUCUGUAGGUAGUGAAAUUUCCCUCUGUUCUUUCAUAAUCUAUACAGUUGCACUGAGGAUACCCAGCUAAACCACAGUUAAUCUCUUCAUUGCUGAGUCAUAGCAACAGAAGUUCUGCAAGAGGUAAUGCUUGAGAAUUCAAGGGAUUGAGUUGAGGUCAGAUGCUUAGUAACGAUUAUUUAGCCUACCACACUGAGUAAAUCUUCGGUCCUUCUAAAUACCACCUCUAACCAACCACUGUAUACUUUUAAUCUGUGUAUUUUGUUUGAACAUGUUUCAAUUCUCUAAACUGUGAUACUUCCCAGACUGAACGACACACUUUAUAGUUCAUCUGUUCAAUUAAAAAAGACAAAGGCUAUGGAGAUUACAGUGAAAUUUCAUUAGUGAUGAUUAGCUGUGCGGUGUACUAAAUACUACUGUUUUCCUUCUUUGAAAUGAUGAAAUGCCUUGCUAAUGAAGGAUGAUGGGAAUAGAGAUGCUUUAAUC